rnacentral:rRNA from 1 species
AUUGAACGCUGGCGGCAGGCCUAACACAUGCAAGUCGAGCGAGCGGCGGACGGGUGAGUAAUGUCUGGGAAACUGCCUGAUGGAGGGGGGUAACUACUGGAAAAGGUAGCUAAUAUCCCAUACCAUCAGAUGUGCCCAGAUGGGAGUAGCUAGUAGGUGGGGUAAUGGGUCACCUAGGCGACGAUGCCUAGCUGGUCUGCGAGGAUGACCAGCAACACUGGAACUGUGAGACGGUCAAGAGUCCUAGGUGAGGAAGCAGUGGGGAAGAGUGGACAAUGGGAGAAAGCCUGAUGCAGCCAUGCCGCGUGGGUGAAGAAGGCCUUCGGGUUGUAAAGCACUUGCAGCGGGGAGGCGUUACCCGCAGAAGAAGCACCGGCUAACUCCGUGCCAGCAGCCGCGAUAAUUC